UCCUACUUUUGGUAUAAAAGCCAAGUAAAAACAAGUUCUACAGACAUACUUCUGCUGCAAGGUCAUACAGGGAGUUUAGGGAAUCCUUGGAUCACCUACCAUGCAUCUCAUACUGUAUGUGGUGUGCCUUGUACUGGCUUUCACCUUUGCCAAUGGCCAAUUUCAAUUUGGCAGGGAGGCUAUCCAGGGUGCUGGUGACAUGUGGGACGCUU